AGAGUUUGAUCAUGGCUCAGAUUGAACGCUGGCGGCAGGCCUAACACAUGCAAGUCGAGCGGUAGCACAGAGAGCUUGCUCUCGGGUGACGAGCGGCGGACGGGUGAGUAAUGUCUGGGAAACUGCCUGAUGGAGGGGGAUAACUACUGGAAACGGUAGCUAAUACCGCAUAACGUCGCAAGACCAAAGUGGGGGACCUUCGGGCCUCAUGCCAUCAGAUGUGCCCAGAUGGGAUUAGCUAGUAGGUGGGGUAACGGCUCACCUAGGCGACGAUCCCUAGCUGGUCUGAGAGGAUGACCAGCCACACUGGAACUGAGACACGGUCCAGACUCCUACGGGAGGCAGCAGUGGGGAAUAUUGCACAAUGGGCGCAAGCCUGAUGCAGCCAUGCCGCGUGUGUGAAGAAGGCCUUCGGGUUGUAAAGCACUUUCAGCGGGGAGGAAGGCGAUAAGGUUAAUAACCUUGGCGAUUGACGUUACCCGCAGAAGAAGCACCGGCUAACUCCGUGCCAGCAGCCGCGGUAAUACGGAGGGUGCAAGCGUUAAUCGGAAUUACUGGGCGUAAAGCGCACGCAGGCGGUCUGUCAAGUCGGAUGUGAAAUCCCCGGGCUCAACCUGGGAACUGCAUUCGAAACUGGCAGGCUAGAGUCUUGUAGAGGGGGGUAGAAUUCCAGGUGUAGCGGUGAAAUGCGUAGAGAUCUGGAGGAAUACCGGUGGCGAAGGCGGCCCCCUGGACAAAGACUGACGCUCAGGUGCGAAAGCGUGGGGAGCAAACAGGAUUAGAUACCCUGGUAGUCCACGCCGUAAACGAUGUCGAUUUGGAGGUUGUGCCCUUGAGGCGUGGCUUCCGGAGCUAACGCGUUAAAUCGACCGCCUGGGGAGUACGGCCGCAAGGUUAAAACUCAAAUGAAUUGACGGGGGCCCGCACAAGCGGUGGAGCAUGUGGUUUAAUUCGAUGCAACGCGAAGAACCUUACCUGGUCUUGACAUCCACAGAACUUUCCAGAGAUGGAUUGGUGCCUUCGGGAACUGUGAGACAGGUGCUGCAUGGCUGUCGUCAGCUCGUGUUGUGAAAUGUUGGGUUAAGUCCCGCAACGAGCGCAACCCUUAUCCUUUGUUGCCAGCGGUUCGGCCGGGAACUCAAAGGAGACUGCCAGUGAUAAACUGGAGGAAGGUGGGGAUGACGUCAAGUCAUCAUGGCCCUUACGACCAGGGCUACACACGUGCUACAAUGGCAUAUACAAAGAGAAGCGACCUCGCGAGAGCAAGCGGACCUCAUAAAGUAUGUCGUAGUCCGGAUUGGAGUCUGCAACUCGACUCCAUGAAGUCGGAAUCGCUAGUAAUCGUAGAUCAGAAUGCUACGGUGAAUACGUUCCCGGGCCUUGUACACACCGCCCGUCACACCAUGGGAGUGGGUUGCAAAAGAAGUAGGUAGCUUAACCUUCGGGAGGGCGCUUACCACUUUGUGAUUCAUGACUGGGGUGAAGUCGUAACAAGGUAACCGUAGGGGAACCUGCGGUUG
rnacentral:rRNA from 1 species